AUGUGGACGUUGUUUGCUAACAUUGGCUAUAGCUCCUGGUGCAUCUUCGAGCUAUAACGUUAACCGCGCAUCUGGCAAUGGCUGGCUGCUCCUCGGAGAUACUAGUUGGCUCAUAUAGCCACGUGGGUACUGAUGCAUUCGUGAUUCAAAAGGGCAUAUAUCUUAUUAAUCCUGACACCAUCCAAUGGUAGUUUCUAGAGCAAAUGUAUGAGAAGCGGUCGGGUUUUUCAAAGCACCCGUCUGAGUGGCUGCUGCUGGCAGCCGUGUGCCAGCCAGAGCAGCCUGAAGGACUUCCACUGGGACGGCUCCCAGGCGCUCAUCCUGGGCCGCUGGGCCUGUCCUGGCUGGUGAAGUUCCCCUCGGAGCAGGAGCAGCUCUGCACACGCCAGGCCACCGCCCAGCAGGUCCACACGCUGGAGGAACUCUGGAAGACCCAGGACAACAUCACGUUGAAAUGGGAUCUGGGGCUCUAAAAAACGGAUUGCUUAUUUCUCCGUUCCCAAGACGGACUCGGGUGACAUACGCUUGAUGCAGGGCGAUCUGACUGAGGUACCAAGGGGACUCGACCACUAACUGGAAGGGGAAGGGACAUGUGAUUACAGUCCCUGACAGUAUCCUUCCACAGACUUAUGUUUCUACUGACAAGUGGACGGAAUGGGAGAAAGACCCUUGAUGCGGCCUGGAUGUUAGGGCAUGGCCGUGUAUUGCUGAAAGACUUAGUCUUUAGAUUCAUAUCUAAAGUCUGGUGACGGAUCAGCAUAAAUCGGGGUGAUGGGGCCUUUCACCUUCACCAUACUUACACAGCUCUUGGCCGUCUCCCUAGAGAAGUUCUGCUAUUACAGAAGAACUGCUGCAUCCGACAUGAGUGAAACCGUAACCCUACACACGUGGUCAUAACUGCGCCCCUCCCCCCUUAAGGCCAAUGUGCAGCGCCUCGGAGACACGGAGGCGGAGCGGCCAGAGCACGGGAUCGCUGCGGCUCCGGGACGGGAAUCAACGCAUCACGAGCUGCAGCUCUGUCCCGCCAUGUAUCACAAGUUACUGCAUCUCCAGCCGGUGGACUUUGGAGCACUGGUAGACGUGGGCGCCGGUCUGUGUGUCGGCACACGCCCGGCCUCCGUCCUGGAGCCGCACCGUGUCUGGUGCACAUUGGCCUUCAGCCACUCCCUUGCCCCGACACCUCACCAGAUUGUGGUCGGUUUGGGAGUGGGCGUGGAGAGAUAACUAGCCCCACCCUGUCUACCCUCCUUGGCCGCUGCCACACUCAUGCAUUAGUGGAUACCUGAUAAAUGUUUGAUUGAUUUAUAUAUGCAUAAUUUUAUGUUUAAAAUAAAUAUGCAAACAAUAUUGGGGGAAUGAGUCAGGGGGCCAAUGUGUGUAUAUAUGUGGUAUAUGUUCUGAAGGAGACCUGUGGCCCUUGUUCUGCGGGUUCUCCUUGACCUUCUGUAGGAGACUCUGGGGAUGAGAUGGCCAUGGAGGAUCAGCGGGCGCUCCGUUGGAGGUGCCUCACGACCCUAAAACCCUGACUCCCAGCCGGACUCUCUGUGGUGGGCCGCCUCCUUGACAGGAACUGACGCACAGCUCCCUGGAGACCCCUACGGUGGACGAGACCCCUGUGGUGGACGAGACCUCGGUGUCGGGCUGCGUCUACCACCAGCUGCUGGGCCACGAGGGGGGGGAGGACGUGGUCAUCAGGGGUCCGCUCCCCACGCGCUUCACCGCCCCGGGCAUGCCCGGCCUCCACCAAUCCCGGGUGGGAGGGCACCAUCCAUCCCUCCUUACAACCAGCAGGCAGUGCUGGGACGUGCUGAGACGGCUCCCCUGCACUUAUAUUCGUGGAUGAUAAUGAGUAAAACGGGCAUGAGCUUG
ensembl:lncRNA